UUGGGCAGAAAAGAUCUAGAGAGAAAAAAAAAGGGAGCGCGCCUCGUCUCCACCUCUCCCCCCACACGCCGCCUCCUCAUCUCCGCCCCCCCUCUGGUCGCCUCGGCUCCUACCCGGCCGGCUCGUCGCAGCAGCGGCCCGCAGAAAGCUGCGGUGGUCGGCAGUGGAGAAGCAGCAUCGGACGACGGCGGCGGACCAGAUCGGCGAGUCACAGGAGAGGACACGAUGGCCGUCACGGGCAGAGCAGAGCGAACCCGACGCGGCGGCCGGCGCCAUCUGGAGAACUGCUGGCCGGUGGUGCGCGAUCUGGGCGAUUUGGAGGCGAGGCAACACCGUUGACCAGGACGCCGUCGAAAUUCUCAUCAUGCCGCUGGGAGAGGGGCUCGUCGAGGAUCCCCUCGACUCGACGGAUCCGCGAUGGAGGUGCUUGAGGAGGGGCUUCUUCUCCGGACUCCAUGGAGAUCGUAAAGAACUCUUGCAGGCACCCUUGUCAUUGCAAAAAUCAAGAGAAGCUAUGAAGGGGCCUACAUCGUAAUGAAGAGGGGCAGGGUGCAAAAGGAAGCGUGCCUUUUCUUGAUCUCUUAAAUAUAACCAUGGGAGCGGAAGAGUGGAUAUGGGAAAGUGGCAAACACAAGUGCUAUGAAUCUGUUGUUGCACUAAUAUCAUAUCAUCCUAAAUGCGAAAUCCAGCUAAAUGAACUAAAUUUCUCAUAUCGAAGGAGUCAAGAAGGGAAGUUACCCAAUAUUAUGUUAGGCACUUUGUCAUGUUGACUGUUGCAAGACGCGAACCAUAUUACUGUUGCAAGAAAGAAUUCACUUAGGAUAUUAUCAUCGGGUUUGAAGGAAAGAUGUUGCAUGGCCGUCUUGUUUCAGUUAUGUCCUGGUAGUGAUUCGGAGGGCACCGGCAUUAAAGGAUCGAGGCUUCUUCUUGUGUCCGUACGAAAGAGAAGUUGUACCGAUUGCCAUUGGAAGGAGCGGGGCACAGGUACAUUAAGCUCGGAUGUAAUCUGCUUUAAACUAUUUUUAAGGGAAUGCAUUACAACAUGCAGCAAGUUCAGGCCAAGAAAACUGGAUUAUUUGGUGUAGCAAGAAUGAUAGAGUUCUAGGCCGGAGCAAACAAAUGGACAGGGAAAUAGCUGCCUUAUGAACCAAAACUGAAUACUGAAAUAAGGAUUUUUGAGAGUUCAGAUGAGAUAGUAACAGAUCUGGCUGAGUAUAUUUCACAAGUUUCAGAAAUCUCUAUUAAAGAAAGUGGAUACUUCGCUAUUGUCAUGUCUGGAGCGCCACUUGUCAGUUUUUUGGGGUUAAUGAUUUUUUUUCUAUUCUUUGCUAGCUAUUUGCCAUAUUUGUUUUUGCACGCGAAUUUAAUACAGUGUGCAUUAUUGCAUCUGAAGUAUCCUGUUUUUAAUUUUUGAAAAGGAAACUUAGUGAAGUGACGUAUAUAUCCUGCUCUGAUGAACGUGAUGUAGCAAAGAACCAUGCAGAUAGUAAAUAUAAGUUACUCCUUGAUAAGAAAGGUUAGUUUUAAAUAUGUGGUCAUUGGGAGUUAAGAAAAUGUGGCAGAUUUUUUCUUCAGAUUAUGCGCUUUGCAUGGUCAUCUAUCUGUUGCGAUGUCUGCAUUCUAAAAUCAUAUUUAGAUGAUGUGAUUACUUCAGAUAUUUGGUGCUGGUGACUGGUCGCAUUUCGUAUCUAUUGGUGGCUGAUCAUCAGAUUUUCUAAGUCUUCUCGUUGCUUACCCAAAAAAAUCGUACGAAGAGUAGUCAGAUUUAGUGUGGCAGUUCUUGUGCAACAUUCCUGUAAAUAUACUGGCAGAGUUCCUUCCAUGCCUCCCAGCUUCUGUUUCAUCUGACAAGCAUCAAGAUAUACAUUUUUGACCAUGGAGCGUCGAUCAAGAUAUCGUAACUGCUUAUGUAAAAUAGUUCCUGAAGAGAAACUUAAGCAGGCUGUAUUCACUUGGAUCGAAGAAAUAGGCGCAAAGUUGUGUUCUCUGACGAGGUAUCUUGGGGCUUUGCCAGCUGCCAGUGCUAUGAAUAUCAUCUGCUGCAUCAUUGCUAGCUUUCCUAUGUUUGGGUUGUUUCUGCCAUCAACUGGUUCUGAAUAAUUGUUUUAUGUAACACUUGCUUGGAUAUGGUUCAUACAUUCUAACUUCUGAGAAAAGCUAAUAUGUUUUUGCAUUAUGGCAACUUCUCUUUCAUAAAGGAAGGCCAAUUUAUUCAUGUUUGAUAUGCAUUCAUACAUAGAAGGCAUUGGACCCAUGAGCCUUACUGCCAUUGAUAAAUGAUACCAUGUAGUGAUAUGUUCACACAAGCUGACCAAACACAAGCUAGCAAAAAAGAGCAGAGAAGGGGCGCACACAACCUGGCACCGCGCAUAGCACCCCUCAGGUUAAAUGUUUUUGCUUGCGCCACGAUUUUGUGCUUUGUUAGGCUUUAUCUUGCACUGUUCUAUAUUAGACAGUUCAGAUUAUUUUUCCAGGCAGUGUACAGAUGUGGAUUAUACUGUACUUACUGCUUAUCAUCAUCUAUAUGACCAUAGUAUACUUUUGUACAGGAUCGGAUGUAUGGGAGGUGCGACAUGAUUUUGCAAGUACAGACAGAAAAAUGCAGUAUGUUUGAUUAUUUUAUUAUUGUACCUUUCCUUUUUCUGUUCAGGUGGAUCUAAAUAUAUUCCAGACAGAGGAAUUAUUUAGGGACUAAAGUGGAAAAGCUAUGGGGAACUUGUGUGUUACUGGCGCCAGCAGCUGAUCAAAGCGGGAACAGAGCCAGAAGGCCGUCGAGGCACCACCUUCAGGCAACCUUGGAGUCGUCGCAGACAACCUUCAAGUGUAGCAUCGAAGUUGAUACAAGACAAGGGGGAAGGCCCAAAUCAGCAGGCAGAUGUGCCGGCUGCUGCGACUGGCAGUGCUCUGGGCGCGCAAGGGUAGCGCGGUACUCCUGGUCAAGACACUGCAGCACAACCGUGGGCCGCGGCCGCAGGCGCAACGAUUGGCUGCACUAUGGCGGACAGGGAUUCUCAACCGACGAGACGCCGGCGAGCGUUGGCUUCGUGGGGCUGGCGGAGAGUGAUGGGGAUGCCGGAGUGGACGUGAAGACGGACAUUGGUUGUUUAUUUACUGAUGAAUUUGGUUCACUUUUGGAUAAGCCAUGCAUCAGCUAUACAUGUAUGUGUGCUAUAAAUCAGCACUAAAACCAUUGGAAAGGGCGGGAGCUUACCUGGCACCGCACAGCUGCCGUUUGAGGCGGCGCGCCAUGGGCGCGCCCCAACCGCUAGUAUUAUUCAACCAGCACCUGAACUGGCAUACAUAAGACGUCGGGGGUAUCUAAGAGCCACAAAUGGCGCCCCAAAUCAAGAUUAACAGCGGCCUUCGCGAGUUCA